GACGAACGCUGGCGGCGUGCUUAACACAUGCAAGUCGAACGGGAUUUAGUAAACAGAAACCUCGGUGGAAGAUUACUAAUGAGAGUGGCGAACGGGUGAGUAACGCGUUAGCAACCUGCCUAUGACAGUGGGAUAGCCUCGGGAAACCGGGAUUAAUACCGCAUAAAAUCGUAGAAACACAUGUUUUAACGGUCAAAGAUUUAUCGGUCAUAGAUGGGCUCGCGUCUGAUUAGCUAGUUGGUGAGAUAACAGCCCACCAAGGCGACGAUCAGUAGCCGGUCUGAGAGGAUGAACGGCCACAUUGGAACUGAGACACGGUCCAAACUCCUACGGGAGGCAGCAGUGGGGAAUAUUGCACAAUGGGGGAAACCCUGAUGCAGCGACGCCGCGUGAACGAAGAAGGUAUUCGUAUCGUAAAGUUCUGUCCUAUGGGAAGAUAAUGACAGUACCAUAGAAGAAAGCUCCGGCUAAAUACGUG
rnacentral:rRNA from 1 species